rnacentral:lncRNA from 1 species
GUUGUUUUCAUAAGUUCUCCCGAACAGUCUCACAAACUUGUGUCCGUAAAUGAGCUCAAAUAACUCACUCCAAACUGGUCCCAAGUUACAUUUGAUUCAAGCAACUUCAUUUAUCUUGCAGCAUUUUGAUUUAUCUGACUAGCAUGCAAAGCUAACUUUAAAUUUCCCAAGCAAACUUGCUCAAAUUAAGUUUAGAUAAACAUAAUGCUCAAUAUAAGGAGCAAAAAUUUUAACUUAGAACUUGUGUCGAAGUAUAAAGUGCCACCUCCCCUCUGUGGUCUGCGAGCAAACUAGAGUGUUCUCAAAAGUACUGUGGUAACUGGCAACGGUUAUCCGGAAUUCACGAGGCAUAGAUUAGAUUUUGGUUUUUGCUGUAGUUGUCUCCUGACUAAUGCAUAUAAACACCAUUCUUCUCGAGAAGCUCGUCAUGAGUGCCACUCUCAACAAUUUGACCAUCAGAAACAACUGCAACAGUAUUAGCAGUUUUAACAGUUGAUAACCUAUGAGCAAUGACU